rnacentral:rRNA from 1 species
UACGUAGGAUGCAAGCGUUGUCCGGAAUUACUGGGCGUAAAGCGUGCGUAGACGGUUAUUUAAGUCGGAUGUGAAAGCCCCGGGCUCAACCUGGGAAUUGCAUUCGAGACUGAAUAGCUAGGGUACGGUAGAGGGAAGUGGAAUUUCCGGUGUAGCGGUGAAAUGCGUAGAUAUCGGAAGGAACAUCAGUGGCGAAAGCGACUUCCUGGACCAGUACCGACGUUCAGGCACGAAAGCGUGGGGAGCAAACAGG